CCCUAGCCCCGAUGGGAACAACAUCCUUUUUCUGCCGAUAAAAUCGGCAGAAAAAGAUACAGUGAACAGCGGGAAAUAGC
rfam:Chryseobacterium solincola strain DSM 22468 contig02, whole genome shotgun sequence.